CUAACACAUGCAAGUCGAGCGGUAGCACAGAGAGCUUGCUCUCGGGUGACGAGCGGCGGACGGGUGAGUAAUGUCUGGGAAACUGCCUGAUGGAGGGGGAUAACUACUGGAAACGGUAGCUAAUACCGCAUAACGUCGCAAGACCAAAGUGGGGGACCUUCGGGCCUCAUGCCAUCAGAUGUGCCCAGAUGGGAUUAGCUAGUAGGUGGGGUAACGGCUCACCUAGGCGACGAUCCCUAGCUGGUCUGAGAGGAUGACCAGCCACACUGGAACUGAGACACGGUCCAGACUCCUACGGGAGGCAGCAGUGGGGAAUAUUGCACAAUGGGCGCAAGCCUGAUGCAGCCAUGCCGCGUGUGUGAAGAAGGCCUUCGGGUUGUAAAGCACUUUCAGCGGGGAGGAAGGCGUUAAGGUUAAUAACCUUGGCGAUUGACGUUACCCGCAGAAGAAGCACCGGCUAACUCCGUGCCAGCAGCCGCGGUAAUACGGAGGGUGCAAGCGUUAAUCGGAAUUACUGGGCGUAAAGCGCACGCAGGCGGUCUGUCAAGUCGGAUGUGAAAUCCCCGGGCUCAACCUGGGAACUGCAUUCGAAACUGGCAGGCUAGAGUCUUGUAGAGGGGGGUAGAAUUCCAGGUGUAGCGGUGAAAUGCGUAGAGAUCUGGAGGAAUACCGGUGGCGAAGGCGGCCCCCUGGACAAAGACUGACGCUCAGGUGCGAAAGCGUGGGGAGCAAACAGGAUUAGAUACCCUGGUAGUCCACGCCGUAAACGAUGUCGAUUUGGAGGUUGUGCCCUUGAGGCGUGGCUUCCGGAGCUAACGCGUUAAAUCGACCGCCUGGGGAGUACGGCCGCAAGGUUAAAACUCAAAUGAAUUGACGGGGGCCCGCACAAGCGGUGGAGCAUGUGGUUUAAUUCGAUGCAACGCGAAGAACCUUACCUGGUCUUGACAUCCACAGAACUUUCCAGAGAUGGAUUGGUGCCUUCGGGAACUGUGAGACAGGUGCUGCAUGGCUGUCGUCAGCUCGUGUUGUGAAAUGUUGGGUUAAGUCCCGCAACGAGCGCAACCCUUAUCCUUUGUUGCCAGCGGUUCGGCCGGGAACUCAAAGGAGACUGCCAGUGAUAAACUGGAGGAAGGUGGGGAUGACGUCAAGUCAUCAUGGCCCUUACGACCAGGGCUACACACGUGCUACAAUGGCAUAUACAAAGAGAAGCGACCUCGCGAGAGCAAGCGGACCUCAUAAAGUAUGUCGUAGUCCGGAUUGGAGUCUGCAACUCGACUCCAUGAAGUCGGAAUCGCUAGUAAUCGUAGAUCAGAAUGCUACGGUGAAUACGUUCCCGGGCCUUGUACACACCGCCCGUCACACCAUGGGAGUGGGUUGCAAAAGAAGUAGGUAGCUUAACCUUCGGGAGGGCGCUUACCAC
rnacentral:rRNA from 1 species